CAGUGGGAGCCAAACCCACCAGGAUAAGAGUCGGAGUCCUGUAACCAGGGUAGCAAUAUGGAGGGAAACCAAAAUGUUGAAGCCUACCGACAGCAUUAUCGAAGGAUAAUGGUGAAUUAUUAGGCCGUAGCGAAA
rfam:Glossina austeni, whole genome shotgun sequence.